AUACUGGAGAUUCCAGGGCAGCUUUCAGAUAAAAUACCUCCAUUAAAAAAACCGAAUAUGAACAUGAAUACAGUCAGUACAUAGUUCCUCGUGCUACUGAACACAAUAGUUAAUUGUAUACUGACUGUACAUUUUUAAUGGGAUGCAGACCUGUCGGCUGAAAACACACAGUGGCACUAUGGAAAGCAGGGUGUCCCAUUCUGAACCCGAUGUCUCUCAUCCUCUGCCUGGACGCAACAGAUGUUUGGAGCUAUGGAGGUCAGCUUUCCAGUGGAGGAAAAACCAGUGACAGGGAGUCUGGGUAUACUAAAGCACGCAGACUCUUACAAGAACACAAUAGUCCGGUCACAACAGUGUGCAGGCAAACCCUUCUUCCAGAAAUCUCUGCACCGAAGCCCGGUUUCUCUGGAAGCAACUCGGCACUGAGACUGAGGCAGAGCACAAGCUCCCCCGCUCACCGCAUCUUCUCUCAAAGGAUCCUUGCGUAACCAAACGAAUGAUUACAUAAGCAUUUCUACCAAGAAUAAAAACUUGUUUGCAUGCCAAGAAAUAGCUCUUAGAAGAGGUGUAGCCUUGUUAUGGCGGAGGUCACCAAGAGGCCCUACUUUGUACCGCUAUAGUCUGAACACUUUGCCAACAGUUGGCACAUCAUCUUUGUCACUGUACAGUAGUUACCUGCUCUGGACUGCCAUAACCGAGGAGGCUGUCUCAUUGUCAAGAGACGUAGGCAGGUAGGAAUUUAAACUCCAGUCACUUUCACUAAGGCAUAUUUGAAAAAUUUUCCAGGCUGACCUGACAUCAGUUUAAUUCACUGACUACAGUUAAUCCCUUUGUUCCUUUAAUAAAUCAUUUGUAAAUGUGAAACAUGUCUUGAUAAUUUUAUGUAGCCAAAACAUUUAAGGUUUUGUUUAAUAAAAAUAAAUGGUAUAUGCUGCUUUGUCUAAAUUCCAGGUACCAUCCUAAUGCAGCUUGACACACAUCAUGAGCAAAAAGUUGAUCUAGUAAAUAAGCACUAUAUCAUUCACCACUUGCUAACAUACUAAACAUGUACAAUUAAUAAGAACCUGAAAAUAUUGAGCUAUGUAAUUGCUUAAAUAAAUGUUUAUAGUUAUAAUGUAUCCUCUGAGGUAGCAAAGAGAUCACUAAAUUUGGUGUAAAGGCUCUAUUUAGUUUUAAAUCAAUAUGCUUUAAUAGUUAUACCAACCAAUGAGAAUGCAUCUUUCUUCAAAAAAAAAAAUGAAAGUACAAAUGGAAAAGAUUAAAAUAGUUUAUUUAAAAUUGCCUUGAUUUAAAUCAAUCCACGCUGGGUGAAACAAAUUGCACCAUCUCCUUUGGUAGCUAAGAAGAGACAAGAGACACAACUACAUAAGACUACUGGACGUUUCAGAGAUGCAAGAAAGGAGAAAUAGCUUAUUUGUGGAUCUAUAGGUAGCAGCCACUCUGCAUUCCUCAAAACCACCCUGGGAGCUGACUGGAAACAAUGAGCAGUUUCACAAUCGUCUCACGUCACGUAAGGAAGUUACUAAAAAUAGAUGAGCACCUGAUCCAUGGACUCAUAAGGAAGUGCAGGAGAGUUAGGAGUCUUGCCUUAGGUCAAAGCCAGCAAGCAUAUCCUCCUCCAGUGACACGUACCCUGGCCCAAACCCUGUUAUUCAUUCUUGCUCCUUUCAGCUGAAAAUCCAUGGAAAUCAGAUGAACUGGCAGAUGCAUUCUUUACAUUAAGACAGCAUAACAGCUGCGUACUGGUGGUCAGAUCGGUUGUCAACUCACAUCCCAAGUAAUUCUACAGGAAAUUAACAACAGCACCUGAAGAACACCACUGAAUAAGCUUGAAAGCUUGUCUCAACACCAACAGAAGUUGGUUCAAUAUCAGGUAUUACCUCACCCAUCUUGUCUCUCUAAUAUCAUGGAACAAACAGGAUUACAACCACACUGAAAACAGCAAAGUCUUUCAAGGCUAGUUACCAGGAGACUUCUGAAGUUCGAACGAUCAUUAGAUACGAAGGUCAAGUGUCUAAACCACCUCCUUCAGCCAUUCCUAAGGAUUUUAAUUGUCUGCUGCAGAUUACUGCUGAUUAGUUUGAAAUUAAAUUUCAGAAAGAAUCAAAUCACAUGCUGCUAUGAAUGGUUAGUUGCUUUAGGAAGCAAAUAGCUUUUACUUCAGUAAAAAUGGCUUGC